ACAAACAACUCAAUAAAAGUCUCGUAAACUGAAUCCAAGAACACAUCAAAAUGAUCAUUCAUCAUGAUCAAGUAGGCUUCAUCCCAGGGAUGCAGGGAUGGUUCAAUAUAUGGAAAUCCAUCGACAUAAUCCACUAUACAUGGACUGACCCAUGGCUCCAGCUACAUAUGUAACAGAGAAUGGCCUUGUUGGGCACCGAUAGAAGGAGAAGCCCUUGUUCCUGCCAAGGAUGACACAGCAAGAAGCCCCUUAUUAAAUGUCAAGCCCUUGAUCUCCCAUUUUCCAGCUUCCAAUAAGACAAGAGUAAAAUUAAAGUAGAAACUACUUACCACAAUUUUUCAGUUAGUCUCAGGUAAGAAAUCCUGUAAGACACUUGUGGGGGAAACUCAUAAUGUGCACUCCCAUUUCCCUACUAGAAGCAUCUUUAAGAACACGCUGUCACAGAAACCCAGCCAACUCUCAUCCCUACAGCUAUACAAGAAAUAUUAGUGCCUGGUGGCUCUAGACAAAAAUAAAAAUAAAUUUCAGAUAUUACUCCGAAAUAUCUGUCAAAAAAACCUCACCUAAAGACAAGAGAGGUAAACUUUAACUACACAGAAAAGUCACAGAGCACUGAGAAUAUGCACUAUGGAACCAGUUAACAAAAUGCCAAAUGAUCCAAUUGUUUAAAAAAAAGCCUGUUUCCAAAUUUAUUACAUGUAUAGAUGGACGUCACUUAGGAGAAUUAUGCUGCUUUCUGCUCCUUCCUAGAAGUUUGGUUAGCCAAAAUGUUUGUGGUCUCACUUGCUUUUUGUUAGUUGUUUACGGUUCAAGUGAAGUAGAAGAGAAACUAGAACUUGGUGAUUUAUGAGGUGUUUCUCAAACUGUCUUAACAUAUAUUUGAUGGUGCACAGUUUUUAAAUUAUAAAGAGUGAGCUAUAGUAUUCCUUAACCCUGCAUAUCCUCUGAACUCAUCUACAGGGGGGAAAUGGCUACUCCUAGUAGUUCAAACAGAGAGCCCAUUUGAUGAGAACUUAGUGAUGGUUCCCAGUAUCAGCAUAUUCUCCAAGCGAUGCCUUAAUGGGAAGAAUUAGAAAUAGAUGAGGGACGGAGAGUCCGAAACUACCUUUGAGUCAACCAAAUUCCCUGGGCCCAGAAAGAAUGAAUAGCUUCCCUGCAAUUGUUUAAAAUACAAGAGUUUGCUCUCCUUCCUGUAUAGUUAGCAUCUUUCCCAUAUCCUGUAUAAUUAAUUUCUUUUUGCUCUAUAUAUCACAAUAUAGGAAGGGCAGCACACCCCCACAUAGGUUCAACAUCCUGAACUCCAGUGACUAAAACUCUGUUGGAUUAUCAGCUAGACCAGA